rnacentral:lncRNA from 1 species
UUUAAUUAGAGUCAGUGGCGUAGCUUGCAUGUAUGCUCAGAUGCUCAAGCAUCCACAUCAUUUUGACAGGAAAAAAAUUAUAAAUAAAGAUAUGUUCGCAGCAGUUAAACUCGGAGGUAUCCGUAUGUAACAAGGGUAAGGAUAUGAGGAUAACAUCCAAUUAUUUCCGAAGAAGUAUGCUUGGUCUCUUAUUAAGGAUUAUUUAGUUCAUGUAAUAAAAAAAGAUGGAUAAAUCCCAGAAAAGUGUUCUCGAUUUUUUUGUUGCUACGGCAAGUGCAGAGGACGAUGCACAGAUCCUCGGACAUGUUUCAUCUGAAAUCGAGCCUAGUGAUGGCUUCUACAACUGACUAACAACAUAACUGACAACUAAACCACCA